rnacentral:tRNA from 1 species
GGCAGGGUAGCUCAGUCGGUUAGAGCGCGGGACUCAUAAGCCCGAGGUCGUGGGUUCGAUCCCCUCCCCUGCUACCA